AUGAAUUCAGGAGGAAGAGGGCAGGGAAUUUUUCCUCUCCUCUUAUCUGACCCAGAAUCAGCGAGACGCAGGCCAGAGCUGGCUUGGGCCUCAGGCACCUGUGACCACCCAACACCUUUCUUUAUUCAACAUCCUCUUUCCAGAUUUUCAGUCCAGACAGCCAAUUUGUCGGAAACGAAAUCCUCAUCCAGCUGGGGUACAUGAGCGCCCGUCUCACCUCCCAGCAGCAGAAGGGAAGCGGAAGGCGAUAAGCAGGGAAAUCAAGGCAAUGUGGCCUUGGCCAUGAUGCGGACUGCGGUCAGAAGGGCCGAUGAGCACCCGAUGAGCACCAGCCUCGGACUAGACUCCACGGGAGGGUCUGGAAGAACUGUUUUCUUGCUCUGUGAUUCAGAGCCGUCCAAAGCCACGUUCAGCUCCUACGUGCGUACGUGCGCACGUGCGUACGUACGUAUGUACGUACGUACCCUUUGAUGUUUCAGGGAGCUCGCACAAUGUGCUUUCCUGGAACUUUUUCAAUAGCACAGCGGCACUAACAAUCAUUUUGGGUUUCAGGGCUCCGCGGCCUCCUUCUGCUCAAUCACGGUCAAGGCCUUGUUUCAUUGGUUCCAACGCCAGGAAGGACUCGGCCACCUGGUGGGGCCACGGACCCCUCGAGGCAAUCUGGCGAAGCUACGGAUGCCUUCUCAGAAUAAGAUUUUCAAGAGGCAGAGAAUCACAGUUUUGAAACAAAAGCGAUAUUAAACCUAAGAGCGUCGUAACACGGAGGCGCCUAAUGAGUACGUCCAACUGUGCAAUCUACCGAUGGCUAUGGCAUUGCCCUUCGCGAGUCAGGAUGAGCAAGACGACAUUUCCCAUUGCACCUGUAAUAACAUCGGUCUGAAAAUACCUGUGGUUUUCUUGGCGACCAAGUCCCGGCCACUGCCAAUCCUCCUGGGUGUGGGCACCUACGUUUCUAAUGGAAGGAAAUACUGAUUUCGCUUCAAGUUGAGCAAAACUGAGAGUUGAGUGAAGGCCCAAGUUCACAGACCCCGGAAUUCGAUCCUUGGGCUCCCGCGUUCCUAUAGGAGCCUGUUGGAGGACAUCCGGGCAAGAAGCAAGAAUCUCUGACGUGUGGAUGGAAUGAAUUGGGCUCUUGGUCUCCGUAGGGACGGAGGAAGGGUCCCAUGGGAAACAAGGUCCAGUUUUGAAAGGUAGCACAACCUUC
rnacentral:lncRNA from 1 species